UUGAAAAGGUGGAGGAGGACUGUUUGAAAAGGUGGAGGAGGAGGACUGUUUGAAAAGGUGGAGGAGGACUGUUUGAAAAGGUGGAGGAGGACUGUUUGAAAAGGUGGAGGAGGACUGUUUGAAAAGGUGGAGGAGGAGGACUGUUUGAAAAGGUAGAGGAGGACUGUUUGAAAAGGUGGAGGAGGAGACUGUUUGAAAAGGUGGAGGAGGAGGACUGUUUGAAAAGGUGGAGGAGGACUGUUUGAAAAGGUGGAGGAGGACUGUUUGAAAAGGUGGAGGAGGAGGACUGUUUGAAAAGGUGGAGGAGGACUGUUUGAAAAGGUGGAGGAGGAGGACUGUUUGAUUUGGUGGAGGAGGAGGACUGUUUGAAAAGGUGGAGGAGGAGGACUGUUUGAAAAGGUGGAGGAGGAGGACUGUUUGAAAAGGUGGAGGAGGACUGUUUGAAAAGGUGGAGGAGGAGGACUGUUUGAAAAGGUGGAGGAGGGGACUGUUUGAAAAGGUGGAGGAGGACUGUUUGAAAAGGUGGAGGAGGAGGACUGUUUGAAAAGGUGGAGGAGGGGGUGAUAUGUCCU